rnacentral:rRNA from 1 species
UGGGGAAUAUUGCACAAUGGGCGCAAGCCUGAUGCAGCCAUGCCGCGUGUGUGAAGAAGGCCUUCGGGUUGUAAAGCACUUUCAGCGAGGAGGAAGGUGGUGAACUUAAUACGUUCAUCAAUUGACGUUACCUCGACAAGAAGAAGCCGAACCGGCCUAACUCCGUGCCAGCAGCCGCGGUAAUACGGAGGGUGCAAGCGUUAAUCGGAAUUACUGGGCGUAAAGCGCACGCAGGCGGUUUGUUAAGUCAGAUGUGAAAUCCCGGCUCAGCCUGGAACUGGCAUUGAACUGGCAAGUCUAAGA